CUAACUCAACCUCAUUUGCUUAUAAAUAUACUCUACAUUUUGGGAUCCAUUGAAACACAGAAGAACAACACACACAGAGACUGAAUCACAGAGCUCCAUCAAAGCCCUAGUGACCCCAUAAUCAUCGAAUCAAUGGCAAGGCCGAAUCCACGAGGAAUCGAUGAACCGGGACGGCGUCCGGUACAGAGAAAUAGUGUCCGUUCAGUCAGGGUCACAACAAGGGGAUUUGUUUUUAGUUCAGAGAGUAUUGUUGGUAGUUUAUCUGUUGAACAAGCUGAUACCAAAACUGCAGCAGCAGAUCAUGUUAUUUCUGCUACUACCACCACUACUGCUGCAACUACUGUUGUUGGCUGUACUACUACUGAAUAGUUUACUUUGUUGAAGUAGAGUUGAUGAUAUAUAUAUUACAAUUUCCAAUUUUAAUUUCUUCCCAUAUAUUUGUUUUGAAGAAUUAGUGUUGGUAGGAUACAAUAUGUAGAGUUGUUUAGCCAGUAUUUAAUUUUCUGUAAUUACAGUAGAGAGAAUAUAGAGAAUUGUGUUGAUUGUUAGUUAGGCCUACGCAAACUCAUGAAAAAAGAGAGUAGAAUAGAGCUGAUAAAGUGUGAAAAAUACAUUAUUAUUGGACUUCUUAAGUCAAA